UACAGAGGGUGCAAGCGUUGUUCGGAAUUAUUGGGCGUAAAGGGCGCGUAGGCGGUGCGGUAAGUCUGUAGUGAAAUCUCUGGGCUCAACUCAGAGUCUGCUGCAGAAACUGCCGUGCUUGAGUGUGGGAGAGGUGAGUGGAAUUCCCGGUGUAGCGGUGAAAUGCGUAGAGAUCGGGAGGAACAUCAGUGGCGAAGGCGGCCAUCUGGGACAACACUGACGCUGAGGCACGAAAGCGUGGGGAGCAAACAGGG
rnacentral:rRNA from 1 species